GCUUUUUGGAGGAGUGGUUGGGCAAGACAGUGCUCUGGUGGUCAGAUCAUCCUGAGCAUCAGGCAGCAGUGCUGGCUGGACCUGGGAUGCUGUUUGCUUGUGUAAGCCCUGAGAACUUACCAGGACUGGAGCGAACAUGGGGGCACACCGAAUGAAUCCUGAGACCAAAACCAGCCUUGAUUUGGCUCUCCAGAGUGUUUUGUUAUCCUCUGGUGUAUAAGGUGUGAAUGUAGGAGAGGAAGAUCAAGCCAUGUUUCACCAGUUUCAAGUUCAAGCUAACGUGGCUGAGCAGACCUGUCAUGAAUGUGGGACAUCUGCACAUCGUGGUGGUUUUGACUUGACAUUUAGGAGCUCAGGAUGUGUCAUGCUGGUGAAUCUUUGCCUGCCACAUCUCCACCGUGGGCCUUGCAUAUUGCUCAAUGGUUGGGUUUACUGAUACCUAAAUAACUCACAGCAAGAGAAUUUAUUCACACCCUCCAAAAACCACAAGAUAUGGAAAGUCGGUGUUAUUCUUGACUCUCAAAAACAUAACAGUAACAAAGAUGAAGUCAUAGAGGUUUGACAAUGACUGUCGAGGGGAUUUUUGAAAUGGUUCACAGCCCCUCUGUCCGUCCAUCCCUGUGAUGCCCAGGGCAGCCCAGCUGUUUGGCAGAGCAGCGAUGACCUCUGAUGUGUAUGGCUGUGUGCUGAUGGGUUCAGGGUGAAGAAUGUCUUCCCUGCCCACUGGUGCACCUGGAGCUGGCAGGGACGUGGAAGCAGGCAUAAAUCAAGAGGAAGAUGACAGGGAAGGAAGGUUUCUGGCUGCAAUGCUGAAGACCUGGCAUUUUCAUGGAGAUCACAACAGAGCUGACCUCAGGCAGGGCGGCAGUGUUGCUGGUGAUGAAGUGCAUCCUCUGUGUAAUACUGGACCCAAAAGCAUGAUGCAGUUUGGCUCUUCAUCCCCCAUUUCUUCAUCCCGGAAGAUGACAUGGACAGCAACUUCCAGCUGCCUCAGUGUGCUUCCCCACAUUUCCCUCCUUGCCCUUGGGCGAGGGCCCAAAGACUUCACAAUGCGUGGUGCAUUUAGUGGUCCCUUACCAGCAGGAUGUUGCUUAGCUCUGGCUCUCUCUGCCAUUUCUGAGUCAGAGGUCCAUCCCUCGGCGCAUACCUGGAAGCAUUGCUGGUAUUUGUGCUUAAGAUUUCAGAUUUGGCCUCAGCGAAGUGAAGGUUUUGUAAAUGCCACGUAGAUCUUGCACUGAAUGCAGCUAAUUAGAAGCCAAUGCACUCCUCAGCUGUGGAAACAUUGAACCAAGGAAAUCCAUAGCAGGGAGUGACGAUGUUCUGCACUUAACACCUGGGAAAUUCCAGUGAUGGCUGCUCCUUUCCCUUUGCUCACUGACUGUGGCUUUCCAAAGAAUACGGUGACUCAAGGAUGGCUUCCCCGCAUUGCCCCACUGUUUCCUGGCUUUGCACAGUGGUUCCUGCAGCUCUUUUGGUAGCCCUUCUGUGGGGAGAGGAAGGCAGAGGUUUUUGUAAGGCCUCCGAUGGCUUUAAACUGUAUAAACUUUGUACUCCUUUUACAUUCAGCCUGCGAGCUUAAGGAACUUAUUCAACUCCAAAAAAAAUUGCUCAACGUAGUGACAAAUCUGCUUCCUAUAAACCCAAGCUGUUGGCAUUUGCUGUUACCCUCCUUUAAUGCUUUAUUAAUGAAGUUCUUUUACAGCUGUUUCAUUAUUUCACCUGGGAUAAGAAUAGGGGUCACAGGUGGGUAAUUAUGUGGGUCAUCCUGUUUCUAUCCUCUUAAAACUCUGGCACAACAUAAGCUUUCUUUCAGUCCUCAGUGUUCCAAAGACUUAUUAAAAGUCAACAUUAAUGAUGCAGAGCACUCCUUGGCCAGGCCUCUUCUAAAUCUCAGCUACAACUUCUCUGGGCUUGCUGAUUUCCAAAUACCUCAUUUACUAGCUGUGGCCUAACAUCCCCCGUAGUUACUGUUGGAUCAGAAGCUAUUCCAUCAUCACGUGGUGCAAAUCAAUGGCAUGCCUUUGCUUCAGACGCAGGAUGGCUGUGAGUAUUGUU
ensembl:lncRNA